AGAGUCCUAUGAUGACCGUUUCAACUUUAACGUUUUGAGCCAACACUUAAACAUAGGGAGCUCGCGGUUACGUUUUAUCCCCAAUAACAUGCCUUGCUAAGCUGAAGGACGUUAGCGGAGAUAAACAGAGCACCCACCUGCCCAUGCAGGUUCAAACCAAAAGGGUCAAGACGGCAUACACGGGACUCUU
rnacentral:other from 3 species